CGUGUAGGCGGCUGUUCAAGUUGGGCGUGAAAGCCUUGGGCUUAACCCAAGAAAUGCGCUCAAUACUGGAUAGCUAGAGGACCGGAGAGGAUAGUGGAAUUCCCAGUGUAGUGGUGAAAUACGUAGAGAUUGGGAAGAACACCAGUGGCGAAGGCGGCUAUCUGGACGGUUUCUGACGCUAAGACGCGAAAGCGUGGGGAGCAAACAGGAUUAGAUACCCUGGUAGUCCACGCCGUAAACGAUGGGUGCUAGACGUUGGCGAGCUUGCUCGUCAGUGUCGCAGCUAACGCAUUAAGCACCCCGCCUGGGGAGUACGGCCGCAAGGUUGAA
rnacentral:rRNA from 1 species